rnacentral:tRNA from 1 species
AAUGGAAUAUUCUAAUUAAGAUGUAGGGUUCAUGCCUCUAAGAUGUAGCUCGUGUUUUAGUGUUACUUCCAUUU